rnacentral:rRNA from 1 species
GUUUGAUCCUGGCUCAGAGCGAACGUUAGCGGCAGGCUUAAACACAUGCAAGUCGAGCGAGAAAGGGGCUUCGGCUCCGAGUAAAGCGGCGGACGGGUGCGUAACACGUGGAUAAUCUGCCUCGUGGCGGGGGACAACAGUUCCGAAAGGACUGCUAAUACCGCAUGUCAGGUCGGAAACUCCGGUUUCUGACGAAAAAGAGGGCUACCCGCAAGGGGCUCUCACCACGAGAUGAGUCCGCGUCCCAUCAGCUAGUUGGCGGUGUAAUAGACCACCAAGGCUUAGACGGGUAGCUGGUCUGAGAGGAUGACCAGCCACACUGGGACUGAGACACGGCCCAGACUCCUACGGGAGGCAGCAGCUGGGGAAUAUUGGACAAUGGGCAACCCUGAUCCAGCCAUGCCGCGUGAGUGAAGAAGGCCUGGUUGUAAGAUCUUCGUCCGGGACCGGAAAGUAC